rnacentral:rRNA from 1 species
GACGAACGCUGGCGGCGUGCCUAAUACAUGCCAGUAGAACGCUGAAGGAGGAGCUUGCUUCUCUGGAUGAGUUGCGAACGGGUGAGUAACGCGUAGGUAACCUGCCUGGUAGCGGGGGAUAACUAUUGGAAACGAUAGCUAAUACCGCAUAAGAGUAGAUGUUGCAUGACAUUUGCUUAAAAGGUGCAAUUGCAUCACUACCAGAUGGACCUGCGUUGUAUUAGCUAGUUGGUGGGGUAACGGCUCACCAAGGCGACGAUACAUAGCCGACCUGAGAGGGUGAUCGGCCACACUGGGACUGAGACACGGCCCAGACUCCUACGGGAGGCAGCAGUAGGGAAUCUUCGGCAAUGGACGGAAGUCUGACCGAGCAACGCCGCGUGAGGGAAGAAGGUUUUCGGAUCGUAAAGCUCGGUUGUAAGAGAAGAACGAGUGUGAGAGUGGAAAGUUCACACUGUGACGGUAUCUUACCAGAAAGGGACGGCUAACUACGUG